UACGUAGGGGGCUAGCGUUGCUCGGAAUCACUGGGCGUAAAGCGCACGUAGGCGGACUCUUAAGUCGGUGGUGAAAUCCUGGAGCUCAACUCCAGAACUGCCUUCGAUACUGAGAGUCUCGAGUCCGGGAGAGGUGAGUGGAACUGCGAGUGUAGAGGUGAAAUUCGUAGAUAUUCGCAAGAACACCAGUGGCGAAGGCGGCUCACUGGUCCGGUACUGACGCUGAGGUGCGAAAGCGUGGGGAGCAAACAGG
rnacentral:rRNA from 1 species